rnacentral:rRNA from 1 species
AGCAGCCGCGGUAAUUCCAGCUCCAAUAGCGUAUAUUAAAGUUGUUGUGGUUAAAAAGCUCGUAGUUGAACCUUGGGCCUGGCUGGCCGGUCCGCCUCACCGCGUGUACUGGUCCGGCCGGGCCUUUCCCUCUGUGGAACCCCAUGCCCUUCACUGGGUGUGGUGGGGAAACAGGACUUUUACUGUGAAAAAAUUAGAGUGCUCCAGGCAGGCCUAUGCUCGAAUACAUUAGCAUGGAAUAAUAGAAUAGGACGUGUGGUUCUAUUUUGUUGGUUUCUAGGACCGCCGUAAUGAUUAAUAGGGACAGUCGGGGGCAUCAGUAUUCAAUUGUCAGAGGUGAAAUUCUUGGAUUUAUUGAAGACUAACUACUGCGAAAGCAUUUGCCAAGGAUGUUUUCAUUAAUCAGGAACGAAAGUUAGGGGAUCGAAGACGAUCAGAUACCGUCGUAGUCUUAACCAUAAACUAUGCCG